GGGUCAACAAUGAGAGCAGGCCAGGAACCAAGGGUUAUGCUUACUCUUAUCUCUUGCCCAUGUGUGAUGGGCUAAAAAAGGGAACAAAUCCUUUGACCACCGAGAAAUGAGGUCUCUGUCCCUUUGCUUUGAGUGUAGACGGGCUCCGUGACUGCCCUGACCGAUAUUACAUGGUCGAAGUGCCACGCUACCAGUUUCUAGCUCUAGACCCCAAGAGACAGUCACGGACUAAAUGUUUAUAUGUCUCAAAAGUCAUAUGUUGAAAUUUCACACGUCCAUGUGAGGGUAUUAGGAGAUGAGGCCUUUGGACCAUGACUAAGACUAGAGGAGGUGAUUAGCAUUAGAUGAAAUGAAUGCCCUCAUAAGACUCAUGAGAGAGCUCGCCUCCUCCUUCUGCUCUCUGCCAGGUCUGGAUACAUCCAGAAGUCAGGAGUCUGCACCCCAGAAGGUGGUGCUCCCAGACCUGACAGUGCUUGUACCCUGAUCAACCACCUCCCGCCUUCAGAGGGUUGCUGAGUCCAGGCUUGUACUUCGUGCCCCAUGACAGGCCGAUUAAUCAAGAGAUGAGUUUUGGAGGUCAAGAAUAGCAACGUUAUCCAGAAAACAGCAAACUGAGAAGAUGGUAGACUAGUGUCCUAAAGAACCAUUGUACCCGAGUUUGAAUUCGGGCUUCUUUUGUAUGAAAAGGGGGAGGGCGUGUGGCUGGUGGUUGCAGUCUUCUUGGUGCAGGAAUCCUUUGUGCUUGAGGCUGUCCAAAGUCUGGUCAUAAUGUUCCUAUAAACCUCAACAAAACUUUUGUCAUUCUCUGCUCUGCAACUUUUUAUCUCUAUAUGAAUGGGACAGGUUAUAUCUUUAAAGGUCAGAGCCUUGAGAGUGGACUGUCAUGUGUAUCUCAGGCCAUAGGCAACAUUCUUUGUACAGGUGCAGAGUCAGCAUAACUAAGCACAGGCAGCAGAGCACAAGGCUUAGAGCUAAAGGAAUAGACCCAGUAUGGAGUCAGGUUUGUGCUUCUCUGUUACAAGAACGGUGAGAAAUAAAUUUCAGUUGUUUAAGCCCCAAACUGACUCAGACAUGGACGGACAGCUCCUACUUCUGUAUCUUGGAAUUCUAGCUCUUAGAUCCCUGACUCACUCAGUAAGAAGACUGACUACCCUGCAGGAAAGGCCACAUGGAGAAGCCCAGGGAUUACAUAGACAGGAAAGGUCCCCAGCUGAAGCCACCCUUCCAGCAAGCCCUGUCCAAGUGCCAAGGGCAUGAAUAGAACCAUCUCGGAUGCUCAGAACCAGCCUGGAUACAAGCCGCAUACCACCAACGGACCCCAGUCACUGCCGCAUGGAACAGAAGGAUUAUCUUGCUGAGUUUUGCCCAAAUUCCUGACUUACAAAAUCUUGAAAUAGUUUAAAAUAACUAUUGUCCUAAGCCACUAAGCUUCUUUGAUUUUUUGAACUUGGCAUUUUGUAAAAAUCUUUGACGCACAGAAAAUUUGCAAGGGUUGUCAGGUCCCUAAAUACUUGUCAUCCAGUUCCCCAAAUGUCGACAUUUAACCAGAGCGCAACAGGAAGAAAUCAGGAAAUUGGCAUGGAUUCAAUACUGUUAACUCAUCUACAAACUUGAUUCUGACUUUCUGGGUCCCCCACCAACGUCCUUUCUCUGGUCUGGGAUCCAAUUUAUGAAUCCAGAUUCCAUUUAAUUCUUAGGUCUCCUUAGCCUCCUCCAAUCUGUGACCUCUCAGUUUCACUUUGUCGGGUAUUUUCUCAUAAUGAGGCUGAGAAUAUAUAUUUGGGGCAAGAAAAUCAGAGAACAGCCCCUUUCUCCGUGCAUCAUCUCAAGGGGUACGGGAGGUUGUACCUGAUGCCUUAUUGCUGGAAAUCAUUCAGUUAAGGUGGUUUUUCUAUCAGAGAGUUAUAUUAGUUUCCCUUUGUGAGUUAUCAGUAUUUGGUGAGAAGAUACUCAUGUAAUAUCCUCAUCAUAUUUUUCAUCUACUUCUUUUAUUUUUAUUUUCUCUUUUUUUUUUUUUUUUUUUUUUUUUUUUNNUUUCCUGGGAACCUCCAUGUGCCACAGGAGUGGCCCAAGAAAUGGCAAAAAGACCAAAAAAAAAAAAAAAAAGAAAAGAAAAAGAAACUGGUAACAGCAUGUUGAUCUGUACUGCCUUUGGGCGGGGGGGUCUCAGAAACAACUUAGCUUGUAAUCCUAAUACGGUCACGUACAGGUUAUCUUAGUAAAAUACGAUUCUGGGGAAGAGCAGCGCCUCACACUAGUCUUUAAAUCCCACUAGUUAACAAGCUUCGUGGUUAUACUAGUCACAUUUCUGUCUAUCCUCUUCAAAUAUGCUGCACAAUAUUUUUAAGACAGCGGACUGAAGAUUUAUUCAAGGCAGUGCUUCAGUUACUUUCUGAUUUGUCCUUGUGAAGUAAUGAUGAGCAGCUUUCACAGACAAUACUGGCUCCUCAAGGCUUCUUCAGUCCUGGCAGUGUUUCUGAGCAAAUGCUUUUACAGCGGCUGCUCACAGAUCUGGGGUCUUCACCCCCUACAGUUAUUCCAGUAACCAAAGUUGUGUUAUUCCCAUCUCUGCAUAUUUACAGUGUUAAGACCUACCCCACCCCACCCACAGGAUCCAAAGAGGGGUCAUGUGUCCUCAGCCAAUGAACUUGGAGAAUCAUGUCUUCUUCAAAAUUCACAUGCUACAUCCUAGCUUCCGUGAACAUGCCAAGGCCAGGUUAGGUCUGGCUGAUUUGCUAAAUCCUCUGCUAUAGUUCCUGGUGAAUGCCAAGACCAACCUCCAUCAGAUUCUCCUGAAUAUCUUUAAUUGAUGUCCCUUGUUCUCAGCAGCCUCUAGAUGAAAGGCACGUUGGUUUGCCACACAAGCGAUUAUAGCCAUUGGCUUUUUACCUUUAGCUUUGAUCUGGAGCCCACAGUAUGCAUGGCUGCUGUGAAAGACUUUCUAUCACAGGUGACCAAAGAGAAUGGCAGGAACUCUCCAUCACAUCCCAGAACAGAUGGUCAGCCCUGAGUCCAGCCGCUAGGGGCAUUCAGCCCCCAGGGAGCCCAGGCUCCUGUGGAGAGGGAUGGACCAAUCUUGCAGCAGGACGCUCUGGUGCCAGGCCCCAGGAGUAAGGUUACCCCCUAAUUCCCUUGAGCUUUGCUUCCUUAAUUUCACAGGAUGUGCUGGUGAUGGUUCCUUAUCAGUGUGUAUAGAGCUAUGUGAUUCUGUUAACUUAAGUAACUUUGUUGACUUUACGUGGCUUCUACUCUUUGACUGUUACAGUCAGAGCCGUUGUGUCCUGGCAUAUCUAGCUGUCUUUGUAUGUAAAAAUCUAUGUGGAGGAGUGGGAAUUCACAAUGGUGCAGCUGCUGUAAAGACAGUAUGGCGGGGGAGUUCCUUGGGGGUGUCGUGGUUAGGAUGCAGCGCUUUCACCACUGCAGCCAGGGUUCAAUCCCUGGUCUGAGAACUGAGAUCCCACCUCAAGCCACUGCGUGCUAAGGCUAAAAACAAAUUCCACAGUAGCCAAAAGGUGGAAGCAACCCAAGGGUCCAUCAAGAGAUGAAUGGAUGAAACAGAUAUGGUAUAUACACACAAUGGAAUUAAAAAAUGGCACUCACCGACUAGGAACCAUGAGGUCGUGGGUUCGAUCCCUGGCCUCACUCAGUGGGUUAAGGAUCCCACGAUGCUGUGGCUGAGGUGUGGGCCAGCAGCUGUAGUUCUGAUUCGACCCCUAGCCUGGGAACAUCCAUAUGCCAUGGGUGUGGCCCUAAAAAGCAAAAAAAUAAAAAUAAAAUUAAAAAAGGGAACAUAUCUAAAGGAUAAAUUUCUAGAUGUGGAAUUGUUGGGUCAAAAGCUGCAUACGUUAUUAACUUUAAGAGAUAUCAAACUGCCCUCCACUAUGACUCAUACAAGUGAAAGUGACUUUUCACAAAACCACAAUUUAAGGAAUUACCAAAAUUAUUUGCUCACUCUAGUCUUUAAAGCUGGGGAGUGAUGGGAUUCACUUGGUAGUUGUGAAAGAUCCCCCUGGCUGGUAUGUGCAGGGGGUGAGCCAAAUGGAACAGUUAGGAAACUCCUUCAGGAGUCCAGGGCUGGGAAGCUGGUGCCUCAGACCAGGAGGGUGGCAAGAGGGAAUUCAUUCAACAAAUCAAUUCAAGAUUAACUGAGUGACUACUAGGCGGUGGGCUGUUCUAGGUGUUGAGGCUACAACAGUGAACCAAAGUCCCUGCUCUCAUGGAACUGACAUUCAAAUAGGGGGAGGAGAGAGGAGAGAAAACAAACAGACAGUUGUGGAUGUUGCUCUGAAGAAAAAUAAAGCAGGGUAAGAGGAGGUGAUAUUUGGUCAGAGACCAUAGCGAAAUGAGGAAAGGAGCCCUGUGGAUAUGGAGUGGUGUUUUGUGCUGGUCUCAGCCUUUUAAAUAAGGCUGUGAUUGGACUGGACCGCAUGGUUGUUAUUGUGAUAUGACUGCAAGACACCCUUCAGCAAUAACCAUCGGGAAGCUGUGAAAAAAAUAAAAGUUUGUUACUUACAAGUAUCUGGAAAUCACACAGCACACCUGGUGAGGCCAUGGGGAGGGAGAGAGAAAGUGAGUAUAAGCCUGGGGUCCUGCUUUUAUUGGGGUUGAGGGUAGGGACCUAGGUUUUUGCAGGCUCCCUCUUUAUUGGUGAAUUUAAAGCAGAAGAGCAAAAAUUUAAAGCAUGGAAGGAGAAAAAACAGGUGGCCCAAAUAUUUUCAUGUUCAACCACUAUCUCUAAAACAAAGGAAUCUCAGUGGAGGGAGGCAGCCUGGCUUUUUAUCUAGUUGCUGGUGAUGUGUUUAUUCUAGAUAACAGUCUUUGAACACAGAAACAAAAAAUCUUUAUAACAUCUCUGUGAAGGGGAUAAAGGGACAACUGCAUAGACUUCCUGCUGCUGGUGUGGGUGACAUGGCAAUGGCCACUGUCGAGAAA
rnacentral:lncRNA from 1 species